rnacentral:lncRNA from 1 species
UGGAAUAUCUUGGAGGAAGUACAAAAAGUGAUACAAGACAGCAAAGCAGACAUCUUCCUAAAAAUAUUGAAUGGCUUUGUUUGCUUUCUAGGUGUGGUUUAUUUGUGUACUUUAGCUAGAUGGCUUAUUGAUUCUGGUAAUAGAUUGGUUUGUUACAAAUUCCUUGCUUUGAGUUGCCUUUUUUUUUUUAUUGGUUUUUUCAACUAUUGUGGUAUUGAUAUUCCUACAUUUCAAAUGCUUUGGUAAUUAGUAAUCUAGUCAUUUUAAAGUAUUUUGGCUACUUGAACAGUGUCUGGGUAUGUUGAUAAAUUAUAAGAAUUGUCGAAACUAUAAUAAACAAAUAAACAAGGAUUUAUUUUGGAUGCAUUUUACUCGUGAAUGAAUCUAUAUGCUUACAAAUUUUUGCUAGUUAUUUUUAGGUGCUUAGUUUCUAUUGCGUUUUGUGAGUUUUUAAUACAGAUGCUAUUUCAUAAUUUAUAUUAUUCAUGCAAUCAUGAAUCAUUAGUGCUGAAAUUUAUUCUUGUUUUAUUUGGAGGUAUUCUCCUCUAUCUUUAUCGCCAUGAUCAAUUUGUCGUUAAAUGAAAGUAAACAUAAAAGUUACCAAGAAUGAGUAUGCCAUUUGAGAAUAUUUUUUAUAUUUUGAAUAUUGCUGUUAAAAAAUUCAUCAAAAAAUAUGUUGUU